AAACAGAGGGGGAUUUUAUUUUAUUUAAAAAAAAAAACAGAAAAAAAACAGAGGGGGAUUUUGUUCUCAUGCAUGGAGAAUCCCUCAACGGGACUCUGGAUUUCCUCAACAGUACUCAGAUUAUAGCCGUGAGAUGGGAGAAAAUCGACGACAUGUAUGAAAUGAUCGUUAGGUUACCGUUUAGAAAAGCACCAUUCACUCUUCUAUUGAUAGGCAAUUGAUUUGAAAAACAAGGGCAGAUUGUUCCUCAUUCAAUAGUUUUUUCGAUUGCGAGUGAUUGUCAUGUUCUGGAUUUUAUUCAGAUAGUUCUUUGUCCUAUUUGUUUUUGUUUGCGUGUGAUCCUCUUUGUGUUUUUAUUCAGUCUUUGUGUUUGGAUUUUUUUCUUUUUCAAUUUUGAAUGGGGCAACAGUGAGGAGAGCUAUACAUCUGUUAUAUUUGCAGUUGCAUUUCCUCUAAUAUGCAAGGAGGUAUGUGAUCACGGAACAUAUUCCGCCAGAGCUUGGGAGGUUGCAGAGCCUGCGGCAUAUGGAGAUCGGCUAUAAUUCUUAUUCAUGUGGGAUUCCGCCGGAGCUCGAGUAUUUGGACAUUGCUGGUGCUAAUCUUUCUGGCGUAAUGCCCCAAGUGGUGAUGAAACUUUCGAGGAAGAAGUUUGAAGACCUUAUGAUUGAUGGUGUGACUAGAGUCUUCAAAUGGGAAGUUUCCCAUGGAUUUUCAUGGGCCAAACAUGAGGAAGACAAAGCCCCAUUUGAGAUUGCCCUUCAUAAUUUUAUGAGGUAGCUGAACGAGAUUAAGAGGAGACAACUAUUGUAGCAACUAGAGUAUAUCCCAAUGGAAGAACGAUUUGAGCACCCGUACCUCAAGCAUAUUCAAAAUGGAGAGGAGAUUAUCUGGAUUGAUGGUCCUGCAGGUUGGACUACUUGGGUUGACAUCACUAGCACCAUAACCCCCAACAAUGGGGUCUUUCAAUUUGUUUAGCCUUUUAUUGUACAUGGAUAUGGAUAUAUUUUGUAUUUGUUAAGAUAGUUGGGUUAAUCUUAGUGGCUCUCCUUGUAUAUACGGGGACAUUCUGAUCUAUUACUGGCUAUGUGGCUUAUGCAAGGGUAUAUUUGUUGUUAUGGGUGAUAGUUUUACUUUGGGGCAUUCAGAUCUUUAUAUUUCAUAUAUGAGACCUUGAACUCUCGUUAGUCCUUUUUGUAAUGUGUUUUCAUGAUAUCUAAUAUAAAAAAUCUAUGUAAUUCAUAUAA